UACGGGGGGGAGCAAGCGUUGUUCGGAUUUACUGGGCGUAAAGGGCGCGUAGGCGGCCACCGCAAGUCGACUGUGAAAUCUCCGGGCUUAACCCGGAAAGGUCAGCCGAUACUGCGGGGGCUAGAGUGCAGAAGGGGGCAACUGGGAAUUCUCGGUGUAGCGGUGAAAUGCGUAGAUAUCGAGAGGAACACCUGCGGCGAAGGCGGGGUUGCUGGGGCUGACACUGACUGAUGCGCGAAAAGCUAGGGGG
rnacentral:rRNA from 1 species